rnacentral:rRNA from 1 species
UGCCAGCAGCCGCGGUAAGACGUAGGGGGCCAGCGUUGUUCGGAAUUACUGGGUGUAAAGGGUUCGUAGGCGGUGCGGCAAGUUGGGAGUGAAAUCUCUGGGCUUAACCCAGAGGCUGCUUCCAAAACUGCUGUGCUUGAGUGUGAGAGAGGCUCGUGGAAUUGCAGGUGUAGCGGUGAAAUGCGUAGAUAUCUGCAGGAACACCCGUGGCGAAAGCGGCGAGCUGGAUCACAACUGACGCUGAGGAACGAAAGCUAGGGGAGCAAACAGGAUUAGAUA